rnacentral:rRNA from 1 species
GUUCUGGUGGAGCCAACCUUGAAAUACCACCCUGGUUUGUUUGAGGUUCUAACCACGGCCCGUGAAUCCGGGUCUGGGACCGUGCAUGGUAGGCAGUUUGACUGGGGCGGUCUCCUCCUAAAGUGUAACGGAGGAGUACGAAGGUACGCUAGGUACGGUCGGACAUCGUGCUAAUAGUGCAAUGGCAAAAGCGUGCUUGACUGCGAGACCCACACGUCGAGCAGGUACGAAAGUAGGUCAUAGUGAUCCGGUGGUUCUGUAUGGAAGGGCCAUCGCUCAACGGAUAAAAGGUACUCUGGGGAUAACAGGCUAAUACCGCCCAAGAGUUCAUAUCGACGGCGGUGUUUGGCACCUCGAUGUCGGCUCAUCACAUCCUGGGGCUGUAGUCGGUCCCAAGGGUAUGGCUGUUCGCCAUUUAAAAGUGGUACGUGAGCUGGGUUUAAAAACGUCGUGAGACAGUUUGGUCCCUAUCUGCCGUGGGCG